UUCCUCGCGCAGGGAGGGACCCAC
rnacentral:misc_RNA from 1 species